AUUGAACGCUGGCGGCAUGCUUUACACAUGCAAGUCGAACGGUAACAGGGUGCUUGCACCGCUGACGAGUGGCGAACGGGUGAGUAAUGCGUCGGAACGUGCCGAGUAGUGGGGGAUAACGCAGCGAAAGUUGUGCUAAUACCGCAUACGUACUGAGGUAGAAAGUGGGGGACCUUCGGGACUUACGCUAUUCGAGCGGCCGACGUCUGAUUAGCUAGUAGGUGGGGUAAAGGCUCACCUAGGCGACGAUCAGUAUCGGGUCUGAGAGGAUGAUCCGCCACACUGGGACUGAGACACGGCCCAGACUCCUACGGGAGGCAGCAGUGGGGAAUUUUGGACAAUGGGCGAAAGCCUGAUCCAGCCAUGCCGCGUGUCUGAAGAAGGCCUUCGGGUUGUAAAGGACUUUUGUCAGGGAGGAAAUCCCUAGUGCUAAUAACACUGGGGGAUGACAGUACCUGAAGAAUAAGCACCGGCUAACUACGUGCCAGCAGCCGCCGUAA
rnacentral:rRNA from 1 species